AGCUGCUCUUCCCCUGGCCUGGCAGCCAGGACCCGGCCAGACAAUGCAUCACAACAGAGCCUGUUGCCAGGGCGACCUCCAGACCUGGUGGCCUGGGACCUGGGGCUCCCGCCACCCCACGCUGGCUGCUGGCAUGAGCACUUACGAUGCAGCACUGUCUCUGGCUCGUGGCUGUGUGGAGAAUAAGGCAGGAGGAGACCCUGUCUGGGCCUGGGGUCUGCUCAUCCUCGGGGAAAGAAGAGAGGAAGUAGAGUCCUGGGCUGCUCUCUCUCUCCCUGGGUCCUGGCCUCCUGGUUUCUCCAGCAGGAACCGCACAUGGCCACCUUAUCCCAGGAACCAGGGUCCCAGGCAGCAGCACGGGCACCUGCUGAGCUCCCCACCCCCAACCCAUCCAUCACUGCAGGAUGCGCUUCCGCCUUCUCCAAAACCUCUGGCAUUCACCUCUCCCUACUAUUCUCGGCCCCCAGCCCCAGGCCCAGCUCAGCCGGCCCCCAGAGCCGGUCUGGAUGACAGCCCAGCCUCCCUUCUAGACUCCAGGCCUCCAGUGUCCAAAGUGAACUCGAACGGAUCCCGCCCCUCCCUCCAGAAUCCCUCUCCACUUUCCCCAUCACUCUCAGCCACAGAGGACUCUCACCCUCCCUUCAGUAAAAGCAAAGGAUCUGUUCUGAGAGAUGCGUCUGAGGCCAUGUGGUCGUCGUGCGAACAUCACAGCGUGUACAGCCCGCUACAGCCUCAGGCCCUACAGUACUAAUCUUAUGGGACCACCGUCAUUGUAUGCUGUGCGCCAUUGACUGCAAUGUUGUUAUGCGGCGCAUGACUAUAAAAAAUAUACCAAAAAUAGAAACCGAAAAUAAAAAAUGAAAGAGUAAACAUUAUUUUUAAAGUUUUGUUUGCAUGUUAUUUAGUGGUCUAAAAAAAGCUUCUCGGUCUGACUAAAUAUAUUAUUACUAAAAAUUGUGAUUAAGUG
rnacentral:lncRNA from 1 species